AGAGUUUGAUCCUGGCUCAGGAUGAACGCUAGCUACAGGCUUAACACAUGCAAGUAGAGGGGCAGCAUGUACGGAUUUUCGGAUUUGUAUGAUGGCGACCUGCGAAUGGGUGAGUAACGCGUAUCCAACCUGGCUGUCACUGGAGGAUAGCCCUCCGAAAGGAGAAUUAAUACUCCAUGUCAUAUAGACGGGGCAUCCUGUUUAUAUGAAAGGUCUACGGUGGCAGAUGGGGAUGCGUCCCAUUAGAUAGUAGGCGGGGUAACGGCCCACCUAGUCGUCGAUGGGUAGGGGUUCUGAGAGGAAGGUCCCCCACAUUGGAACUGGGACACGGUCCAAACUCCUACGGGAGGCAGCAGUGAGGAAUAUUGGUCAAUGGGCGGAAGCCUGAACCAGCCAAGUAGCGUGCAGGAAGACGGCCCUAUGGGUUGUAAACUGCUUUAGUGCGGGGGUAAAGUCAUCCACGAGUGGAUGUUUGCAAGUACCGCAAGAAUAAGGAUCGGCUAAUUCCGUGCCAGCAGCCGCGGUAAUACGGAAGAUCCGAGCGUUAUCCGGAUUUAUUGGGUUUAAAGGGAGCGUAGGCGGAGAUGCAAGUCAGUUGUGAAAGUUCGCGGCUCAACCGUGGAAUUGCAGUUGAAACUGUGUUUCUUGAGUGUACAUAAGGAUGGUGGAAUUCGUGGUGUAGCGGUGAAAUGCAUAGAUAUCACGAAGAACUCCGAUUGCGAAGGCAGCUAUCCGGGGUACGACUGACGCUGAGGCUCGAAAGUGCGGGUAUCGAACAGGAUUAGAUACCCUGGUAGUCCGCACAGUAAACGAUGGAUACUCGUGGUUGGCGAUAGAUGGUCAGCCACCAAGCGAAAGCGUUAAGUAUCCCACCUGGGGAGUACGCCGGCAACGGUGAAACUCAAAGGAAUUGACGGGGGCCCGCACAAGCGGAGGAACAUGUGGUUUAAUUCGUAGCAACGCGAAGAACCUUACCAAGUCUUGACAUCCCAUUGACGGGGACUUAAUCGUCCCUUUUCUUCGGAACAAUGGAGACAGGUGGUGCAUGGUUGUCGUCAGCUCGUGUCGUGAGAUGUUGGGUUAAGUCCCGCAACGAGCGCAACCCUUGUCCUUAGUAGCCAGCAGUCAGAUGGGCACUCUAGGGAGACUGCCCGGGAUAACCGGGAGGAAGGUGGGGAUGACGUCAAAUCAUCAUGCCCCUUAUGAUUUGGGCUACACACGUGCUACAAUGGCGUAAACAAAGGGAAGCGAGACUGUGAAGUUAAGCAAAUCUCAGAAAUAACGUCUCAGUUCGGAUUGUAGUCUGCAACUCGACUACAUGAAGCUGGAAUCGCUAGUAAUCGCGGAUCAGAAUGCCGCGGUGAAUACGUUCUCGGGUCUUGCACACACCGCCCGUCAAG
rnacentral:rRNA from 1 species